rnacentral:misc_RNA from 1 species
AUUGAGGAGCAUGAUUAUCAAACGAAGCUUCGUAAUGUAGUUAAGUUCUUGAAAGAAGGCGACAAGGUAAAAUGUUCCGUUCGUUACCGCGGACGUGAAAUUGCGCAUGCCGCCAUUGGUCAACGGAUUUUGGAACGUGUUAAGGUGGAGGUUGCAGAACUUUGCACCAUCGAACGUCAACCAAAAUUGGAAGGCCGCAGUAUGAUCAUGAUUCUGGCUCCUAAAGCCUGAUAACAUUGGAGGAGGAAACACAAAAUGCCUAAAAUGAAAACACACAGCAGUUUGAAAGGACGCUUCAAAAUUACCGGUUCCGGUAAA